ensembl:misc_RNA
GGCUGAAUCGAAGGUCAUAGCAUGAAUUCUUAGCGCCAGCCGUCCCAAGACUGGGUGAAGGGUGCGGCGGCACAGAGUUCGGGGCGCCAGGGUGGCAAAAACAGGCCAAGGUGGCAGUGGACAGCAGACAGGAGCACCAGCAGUGCCUCCAGCCGCAGCGCUGAUGCCAGGAGAGCACCGCCUCCGCCGGAUCGCCGCAGUGCGCUUCA